rnacentral:misc_RNA from 1 species
UGGGGAGAGUGUAACCACUCGUUUCACCUGUGCUGUAUGACGUUGUGGGUCAAACAGAACAAGAGAUGUCCCCUGUGUCAACAGGACUGGGAAGUCCAGAGGAUAGGCAAAUGACACCCAGUCUGGAUAGUCUUUAGAAUAACAUUUAUAUCAUGGCAGUCUGGAUAUGGAUAGGCUUAAGAAUAACAUUUAUUUCAUGGCAGGGAGGAGAUUGUUUUGAACACUGAAAACAAACAUGUUUCUAUACAGACUUUAUGUGUGAUAAAAAGAUAUAAUUUUAUGGAAAAAGGACAAGCAACCAGCAUUUUAUAGGUGAUUGAUUAAUGAAAUAAAACAUAAUGUAAUGAUUAAUUUAUGAUUUUGUGUGUGUAAGUAAAUCAUUUAUUAU